AAACUAGGAUUAGAUACCCUAUUAAAAUAUAAAAAUUAGUAGUAAAUGAAAAUCACGAAACUAAAAAAAAUUGGCGGCUUAAAAUAAUUUUAGAGGAAUUUAUUCUGUAAUGGAUAAAACCCCUUAAUCUUACUUACGUUAGUAAACUUCUACAGUUUGUAUACCUCUAUUUAAAAAUUUUAUAAAAAAUUUUUAAAUGUUUUUAAAAAGAAUUUUUAGGGCAAAGUGCAGCUAAUGCGCAAGUCUGAAAUAAAUUAUACCAGAUUAAAAUCUCACAAAAAUUGAAAAUUUGAAAUAAUCAAAAUAAGAAAAAUUUAAAAGUAAAAUUUAUCUAUAAAAUAAAUUUGAAUAAAAAAAUUUUAAGUGUACAUAUUGCCCGUCAUUCUCUAAGAGAUAAGUCGUAACAUAGUA
rnacentral:rRNA from 1 species